AGCCACUGUCCUAGAGGUGAUGCAUUGUUCUCUCCCUGGCAGGUAGAGUUGGAGCUGAUGUCUGAACCCCACCUGCUUUAGACCCUGGUCUGGAGCAAGGACUUAAGAUGAAGGAUAUAAGCUCCCAGGAUCAAGCUAUGAGACAAAACCACUGUUGCAAACCAAGCACCAGGACCUGAGAACAUGUAGCAAGUCAUUAGUAUCAGGAGCCAGACUCAGAUGGUCUCAGAUGGAUCAACAAGUACCUGUGCUGCUUUGUGUGAUGGGUUGCUCACUGCUAGGGCACCCUGCGCACCUCUCCACGUUAGCAUGCUCUAGAUUGUCUGUGCUUGGAAAUACAGAAGUGUUUAUUCUGAGAAGAUCUUGUCUAGGAUCCUUCUGUCUUGCUAAUGGCCUGGAAAGUGCUUUAUCAUUCCCUUCUGAUCAUACUCUGCUUUUUCCAAAUGCGGAACAUACAUAUAUAUCUGCUCUCUUCUUUCCAAAGAUCUCCCACUUAAUCACACUUCUUAAAUAAUUGCUCUACACUAUUUCACUGUAAUAAAAGGCUGUUAUACCAUGCAGGUCUCUGCUAUGGCAUUUUUAUCCUAGGUGAUGUCUUGAUUUGUUUCUCAGUUGAUCCCUUGUUCUUAGGCAACCAUCAGUCUUCAUCUGUUGUAAGGACAUCUAAAAUUAUAGCUUUACUUGGGCAGUCAUAAUUUGUAAACUUAUAAGAA